GACGAACGCUGGCGGCGUGCUUAACACAUGCAAGUCGAACGGCAAGGCACUGCUUUUGUGGGGUGAUCGAGUGGCGAACGGGUGAGUAACACGUGAGUAACCUGCCCUUGACUUUGGGAUAACUUAAGGAAACUGGGGCUAAUACCGGAUAGGAGCUCCUGCUGCAUGGUGGGGGUUGGAACGUUUCGGCGGUUGGGGAUGGACUCGCGGCUUAUCAGCUUGUUGGUGGGGUAGUGGCUUACCAAGGCAUUGACUGGUAGCCGGCCCGAGAGGGUGACCGGCCACAAUGGUACUGCGAUACGGACCAGACUCCUACGGGAGGCAGCAGUGGGGAAUAUUGCACAAUGGGCGGAAGCCGGAUGCGGCAACGCCGCGUUCGGGAUGACGGCCUUCGGGUUGUAAACCGCUUUCGCCUGUGACGAAGCGUGAGUGACGGUAAUGGGUAAAGAAGCACCGGCUAACUACGUG
rnacentral:rRNA from 1 species